CGUGCGAGGCCGGCGGCGGACCCUGGCCGAGGCAGCAGAGGUAGAAGGCUGUAUCAUAGCGCCGGCCCCCUCGCCCAGCUCGGCCCACCGGGGUCAGCCAAUUGCUCCACUCGUGCAGCGACCAAAUGUUGGGCACGCAGCGCAGGUGGCUGCAGAGCUGCAAGAAGCUGUCGGGCUGCCGUUGCACACGGUGCCGCCACUCGGUCAGCUCCGAGACCGGCGGCAGGCGCUCGGCGGGCAGCAAGCGAGCCGGUCCCGCGGUGGGGUCAGAGGCAGAGUCGCCGGGCACCAACAAAAGGACGCCGGCUUCCUCGAAGGCCUCCCGGAUGGCGCAGAUGCGGAAGGCUACGUCGCCCGGCAGCGGCGAGCUCAACUCAGGGCGCUCGGAGGCGAAAAGCGGCGCCCGCGGCCCGUUCGCCCGCACGGAGCUCAGCCCGCAGCGCGGCGGGUCUGGCAGCAGACUCAACCAGUCGGCCGAGAAGUCGGCCGCGUCCACUACGCCGCCGGGAAAGACGUGAGCGCUGGGCAGAAAAGCGCUGCGUGGGCUCCGCCUCAGCAGCAGCAGCUCAUAGUCGAAGGCUCCGGCCGGCCGCGGACAAGAGGCGCCUGUCCCGCCGGCCGCCAGCAGAAUCGUGGCGGCCUCUCGCCAGUGUCGCAGUCGUGAGUUCAUCCUAGCAGGCUCGGCCUCCCGGACGACAUGUUGAACUGGUGAGAGUCACAUUCCCGCCUCUUUCUCUCUCUCAGGCCGGGCCGGGCCCGCCUCCAGCACCGCCACCCAGCGGCCCCGCAUUCUGACGCGCGGGGACUGGGACUUGAGGGCUCCUCGGCGACGGCACGACCUCCAGCACCUGCUUUUUUUAAAAAAAUGUCUUUUUACUGCAGAAAUUUGUACGCCGGCUGUCAGGACGCGCUGCCCACACAAGGUGGCUUACAAGACUGGACAGCGCAAGCCUAUACAGCUCUUCUCAGAUGAAAGAUAGAAUUCAGCGCGAAUAGGUUUGCAGCCUAACAUUGCAAAAUUGCUAUACACAGUUACCUGAAGUGAGUCCCAUUGGGAUGGAUUCUGAGUAGUCAUGUUGUACUGUCAGAUUUAAACAGUAAAGAGGACUUACAGCAUGGAAGAUGUUUGGGUCUUGGGUGUGCAGGUACCAAGGGGUAAGACAUGGAACCUCAGUGAAGAACACUGAUAGCUACGCAGGGCUGGCCCAAGGAAUUUUGAUUCCUGAGACAAAGAUGUUGCUGUAUCCCCAUGCCACAUACAGAAGUUUACUUCAGUAGUGGUGAUGGGACAGCAUCCAUAACUAUAGUUGAGGCCAGGAGGCUAACCUAUGUGAUGCAGGGCACACCUCAGCUCUGCUCUUCAAUACCUUGAUGCUGCUUGCUGACUGCACCAACUGUCUCCUGUCUGCUCUCUUUUCAAACAAAUACUGCAGCACAGCAGUAGAGGGGUCACCUUGUGUCACAUGAGCAGAGCAAUGCAUGCACACGUAUGCAUAAUGUCUCUUGGAAUGUGCAGGGAGUGGAGCCUCUGCAUCCUUGGUUGUGUGGCCUUUCCCAAUGCUGCUGUCUGUGAUCUGUUGGGAGAAGGUGACUCGGUAGCCUGUUUCGCCCAUAACACUAAACCAUGGUUUACUAAACUAUGGUUUAUUAAGCCAUGGUUUAAUGGUAUGUACAAACCCUGCCCAGCAAUUUAACUACGGGUUGUUUACUGUCAUCUGUAGGAAUCGGAUAUGCCCAUUGGAAUCCAUAAGGAUUGACUUUCUGUUUGCUUGAAAAUAUUUUCUUUGGUCAAGCAUAAAUUUUAAAAGUCAUAGGGGAAUGCAACAAGAAAGUAGAAACUGACAUUUGUUGACAAGAAUCGGGAAGUUUUCUUGGCAUGCUUGGAUCACUGUUAUGGUUAGUGCUGGGACAUGAUGUUAUGUCUGAAAGUAAGAGAAGGAUAUAAUAGCACUUUGAUAUUCUUGGACGACUGGUACAUUUGAAUGUCUAAAAGUUGUAGGGAAAAUAGACAGAAUUUUGCAUAUCUCCAAAGUUCAGGUGAACCCAGCUAGGUGAUGUAAUAUGUGAAGGGAUGGAAAAAUUACAUUUUGAGGUUUUCCAUAGAAUAUUGGGGAACAGACACACCUGUUUUAGUAAAGGUCAGAUCAUGGGACGAAAUAUUGGAUGAAAGAAGCAAGCUAGGAGUAGGACAGGUACCUUCUUCUCCAAUACCAACUAGAGAGAUGGGCCCGUUCCCAGAUAUGCUGAUAUGCAGAGAUGCGAAUAGUUCUAGUCAAUUAGGCCAAAUCAGGGAUCUGAUCGGGGUCAGGACGCAAAUAGGCAAAUCCCAUUUUUAGUCCUUCACAACAAACCGUGAUCUGAAGCAAUGAUUUGCUGUUGGAUUACAAGCCUUGGUUUGUUAUAACUGUGAUUUUGUGUUAUAUGGAAUGUGUAUAUUCUGAGGUUCUUGGGAAUCAACAAACAAACUGUCCAAAAGAAGUUUUAUAGGGCAACUAUAGACAGAAUGUGAUCUGCCUAUAGUGAUUGGGCCUCAGCCCGCUUACACAUUAUUCCAAAACUACUUUAUAUAUUUAUAAAUUAUUAAUAAUGUAUCUACAUUUUCAUACUCCUGUAAGAGCUUUGAAGUCUUCCAUUCAAUCAAUAAAUUUGUUGUGGACUGCUGCCUGAUCUCACGCACCCUUAAGCUCACUGAAAUCAAUGGAUUCAGGUAUGCCUAAUGCUGCAGAGAACUGCAGCAUAAAGUGCUUAUGGCUGCAGGCCAGCCAAUGCAUCUAAGAAGUCCCAGAACAGACAAAACAGUACAUAAAAAAACCCUCACUUGCAGCCAUGAAAGGGAGCGAUAGGAUGGGACUGUGACAAGCUGGGGGAGGGGUCUGAUCAUGAGACUGCAGCCAGUGGCCUCCUCUGGCAAGGUGGUGGUGACAUCUUAAGGGGCAAAGAGCAACUGGAGGGAGCAAUUUUAGGUGGGGAAAGAGUCAGACCACCCCCUCUCCACCUGCCAUGGCCCUGCUCUCAGUCAGGGCCUUCCAGCUGUGAUGUCUUUUUAAAAAAGAAGUCUAGGAUAGAUGAUUUUGUGACAAAUUUAUUUCUAGUCUGGGUCUUUUCCCUAUGAAAUUCCUUUAGUACACCGACCUAAGAAGGUUGCUGGUUUUAAGUUGGAAGAAGGAAAAUAGGUAUUUAGAGGAAAUAAAUAAAUUAGGGACGGUUAAAUGUACUACAUGAAGAAGGAGUGUCACACCAACUGUACACUUUGCACAUUUAUUUCAUAGUAAAGGGCAAUCCAUAUGGUAUAAAUUUUGGAAUGGAACAGUUAAUAACCACUUCUGUAAUAUUUUGACAGAGCAAUCAUCUGCACGUUUACACAGAAGUGAGUGUUAUUGUCUGCAAGUGGUGCUUACUCCCAGGAAAGUGUGUUUAGGAUUGCAGCCUUAGUGUACAAAGUCUUCUAUAAUUUGCAGAGGGGAAAUUUGAAAGUGCUUUACAUUUCACUGUACUGUGUAACAAAUACUUGAUUGAAUUUCUGAAAAAAGUGUUUCUUUGUAUUAUGUUUUUAUAUUACCUUAUUUUUGGUGAAGGAUGGUAUAGAAAUGUCAGGUUAGUAAAUAAAAUAAAAUGUUGAAAAGCUGUAGACUGCGGUUGGGGGCUAAACAGUUUGGCUGCAAGUCCAUUUGGGUGCUAGCUCGGCAGAGUAGCAGAGGUCAGCUAGCUGGCUGAUUAUAUUAUUAAAAAAAAUCUGGGACAAAGCACCAGCACCACUAUAAUCAGACACACACUCAAAACUGAACAUCUGCUCACUCUGUUUUUCUCUUAGAUGCAAUAUUGUGUUAUUUAUAUGUGAAGGUGUGCACUCUGUUUAUCAUGAAAUUUAUCUUAACAUUUCCCAUCAUCUCCUGGCUGCAGUCCUUUGCAAAAUUACUAGGAAGUAAGGCCCAGUGAAUUCAGUGGAAUUUACAUUUGGAUAAACACGUAUAAAGUUGCCCUGUUUAAAAAUUAUUGAUAUAAUGUGGGGAAUUCUUUGGCAUAUUUUCUUUAUUGUAACAUUAUUACAGUAUUUGUUCAUUUAUAAAGUGCCUAAAACACAUUCUAGGUGCUGUACAUUGAUUAACAUUCUAGGUGCUGUACAUAAAGCCCGCAGGCUCGCAGUCCAAUAGACAUGACACAAAAAGAAUGGGAAGGAAAAAGAAAAACAAGCAAAUUCAGGUGGCGUGGAAAAGAAGACCUGGCUUGGGUUUACUAAGGAUUUAAUAGAAAUGAUGUUGAAAGGAAUUGAGGAAGAUUGAAAAGAAUAAACUGCUCCUGUGCAUAAAUCUUUUACCUGAGGCCUCCAAAAUGCUUGGCUGCUACAGAUCCUAGUGAAGUGAAUGUGUAGUACCAGUGUUGUAAAAGUCAAGAUGCUGGCGUACUUCAAAAACCAACACUCUGGUCUAAGUUCAUUUACUUUAAAAAUAGUGCCUUUUUUAAAAAAUGGAACUUCCAAGUGAAUUUGGUGGGUUAGCCGUAUUUCGGAGACUUCGCUUGUAUACCACUGUUAUAAAAACUGAAGCCAGACAGUAAUUUGUAAGCAGAUUUCCACUGUAUUAUAUUUUUAUCAUAAAGAUGAAAAUGUUUGUGUUUGUCAAGAGAUGAAAGCAAUUUAUAAUAUUUCUUUGAUAAUAUUUAAACAGUAAGCGUGAAACCCUUACACAUAGGGUUUUUUCACUUGGGCCCCACAUUCAUAUAUGUGACAGUAAGUUUUUCGCAUGGCAGAUACUAUGCAGUAAAAGAAUGUUUAAA